CAGCCUCUAGUGGUUUUAGGACAAACUGCAACCUUUGCUUCUUCCUGGUCUGUGCAAGGCGGUAACAUAAUGUGGCAGCUUGUUCAACCAUGAUAAAUUCUUUAGUGUUUGGGGCUUUCUCUGUGAAUUGAACUGUAAAGCUUCUGUUUGUUCUUUCAGGGAGGAAAGAGAAAAAGAAGAGAUCCAGACAGCCACAGGCAGGUGCUGCAUCUGACAGAGAUCAACCGCCUAAAAGAAGACGCAGCGCUUUGAAAGACCCGGACAAACAGGCCUCCAGUUCAGAGGAUCCAGACAAAAAGAGAAGGAAGAAGAGGGACGGAAAAGAAGCCCGGAAACGUGGGCAAGCUCGCCUUCAAGACGACCAAAGUUCAGAGAAACCCAAGCGACGGAGAAAAAGGAAACAGGAUGGAGAGAUGAUGACGUCCAAAGCAAAGAAGAGGCGGUCUUCCCCCUGUCCUGAUCCUGAGGUGAAGCUUUCAUCAGGGGUACCGCUGCAUCUGCAGUCGGGGAACACUAGUUGAGCUACAUUGGUUUGUCAGUUAUACUUCAGCUGAGGUCACC
rnacentral:lncRNA from 1 species